rnacentral:lncRNA from 1 species
UUUCAUUUGCCCUUGUUCAAACCCAGGUGGAAACACUGCCCUACUGUGAAGACCCAGAAAAUUCUCCUAAGAAUUUUCUCUGGGCUCAGGAAGACAAUUUAAAUAUUUCUUGCUCUAGGGGACUUAAGCAUUUUUUCUAAGCCAUAGCUUUAAAUUGCUUCAGGGGAAAGACGUUCAAAACUUUUGAAAACUCCAAGAAUAAUCCCCUAAAGACUUAAUUAUGUUAGAUCCAUACUGUAUUUCAAAUAACCAAUCAGGAGUCUUGAGGAUGUGUCUUAACCCAUUCUUUAUUAUCAUUUACUGCUGAAAUCCUUAAUCCAAAUAUAUUCCAGUGGCUUUGUCCAUACCUUUGUUCAUCCUAUCAUGUCUUAUUGAUGAGAUAAUAGAAACAUCUCAUUUAGUUAAUUAGCUCUUGGUUAUUAAUAUAAGAGUAAACAUUUAUAAAUUUCUAGGCAUUAAGAAUUAUAUAUAUAUAGAAUUACAUAUGAAUUCUGUAAGAAUUCUAUAAGAAUUCAUAUUACAUAAGAAUUACAUAUAUAGAAUUACAUAUAUUAUAUAUAUAAGAAUUAUAUAUAUAUAGAAUAUACAUAUAUUCUAUAUAUAAAAUUUAAUUCCUAUUUGUUUAAUUAGUGAGUGAAGAGAAAAAGUAUUUUAUUGUACAAAAUAAUCUAAAAAUUACUGAAGUUGAAAAAUCAGAAUCUACUUAUGUGAAUAUGAGUGGCAUUUUGAAACUCACAACAAAUUCAGAAAUUUUGCAACCAUUCAAUGAAAACCUAGAGGCCAUCAAGCUAUUCAGUUUUUUUUGUUGUUGUUGUUUGCUAUUCAGUUUUCUCAUUGCAAUUCUACAACCUAAUUUGUAACUCAAUCCUACUCCAUACUGUAAACAUCUCCAAAGAAUUCACCUAAAGAGGAGCACCUGGGUGCUCAGUCAGUUGAGCCACUGACUCUUAGUUUCAGCUCAGGUCAUGGGAACAAGCCUCACCCCACUUGUGAGCAAAAGUGCAUGUGCCCUCUCUCUCUCAAAUAAGUAAAUAUUAAAAAAAAAAAAGAAUUCACUUAAACAGAUAUAUCUAUCACCCACAUUAAUUGGCAUAAAAUUACUAUUUAUCUAAUAUAAACAAUUAGGAGGUAAAGGUGAACAUAUGUAUAAAAUCCCAAGUACACUCAGUCAACUCUUUCUGAAGGGACUUCUCUCCUUUCCUUGAACUGCUUCACCAAACAAUGAAUAUAAUUUGUUUACCACAAAACCACUAUCCAGGUAAAAUAAACUUUCACUACAAGUCUAAAGACAGUAGGAAAAAAUUACAGCACUGAACAAAAACAAGUGAAAACUGGGUUUCCAACAUCAUUGUUUCUGAAGUUUACUGACCUGACCACAAGAACUUGCUUCCUGGACAUUUAUUUUUUUAGAUCCUGAUCUGUUACCACAUAACUAAG